rnacentral:lncRNA from 1 species
GAGCCGCGGGGGCGCUGGCGCCAGGCAGUAUCGGCCGUGAGCACUUUGACGCAAAGUUGUAUUAAUUCGGAGCUCUAAAUUUACGGUCUGCAAAAGUGAGUCGCGUGCCGAGCAUGCAAAGAUGACACGCGUGUGCCGUCGCCCCUCUCGCUUCGCAUGGGAUACGCUGAGGUUGCAGAGCAGGUGAGUUUAGUGUAUGGGACGGGUACGACGCGCGGGGGUGUUGGGUGGCGCCGUGCAAGGAGCGGGAAGUAGUUGGACCGGCCCGCAAGGUGUGGCCUGCUGGUUUGGUGGUGGCCCCGGCCCGACAACCACAUGAUUGCUCACCGGCAACCCUUAAUACUUUUACUUGAUGAAUUCGGCGUGAUGUUGCACUGGGGCAGCUCAGGCACAGACAAAGGCUGGGUACCUUGGCCUUCCAUGGAAUCCCGUGAACGCGACUGGACCGGCUGAAACCUGCAUCCACACCUGCACACACCCCUGCACACAUGCCCACACAGACACAUCAGCAGUCGCCGCAUUUCUUCGCACUUCAAUUGCCUGCGUGUUGCCCCUACUCUCUCCUCGUGCUCCUUUAGCACCUGCACACGGCCCAGUAUCUACCCAUACCUUCAAGCAAGGAAGUGGCCCCCACAGUGGACCACAGCGCAUGCAAUUUAGGCCAACUGCGGAACUGCCCAAAACCUAAAGCUGCCAGGGCCUCGCACUCAAAGUGUGCUGUGCGGCGCUUUAUGUUCGUUCCGGGAGGGGUGUGCGAUGGUGCAAAAUCACGUGUGUCGGCCUGCCGGGACGGGGCGGCGGGGCGGCGGGGCGGCGGGGCGGGGCAGGCGGGCGGGCGGCGUGGCCAGGCCGGGUUGCGGCGCUGCCUUGCAGCCUGUAGGUACGAGGUCUGGGGGAGGGCUCUGGCGCCUGGCGGGGACUGAGGGCGUCCUGCCUGGCUCUGUGGCGGCCGUGUGCCGGGGACUACCGGGGCCGGCUGGGGACCACCAGGGCCGCGCACAUACAUGCACCCCCACAACGUAUGUUCAGAGAAAUGAAAGCUAGUGUGAAUGCAAAUGCUAGACGUCGGUGCAAGAUGUAUCACCUCGUCGGCCGUCCACCCAAUUCAGUGCCCUGCUCCGCCCUGCCCUGCACCCGCCCCAACGGGCUAGCAGCCGCGGCGUCAGGACAGUCACAGGGCGCCUGCCGCCAGGUGCGGCCUGGACAUGCGCGCUCUGGACAUGCGAAACAGGGGUGGCGACAUACACACUAACACAAUCUGUUGUUAACCCGGAGUAACACACAUGGUAUGUGUGAUGGGAAAGUGUUAAGGCAGUUUUGUGAAGUCCCGCGGGGUGCAGCUGAUUCAUUCCCAGACUCCAGCAGAUGGCAAACAAUGUGCGACGGCAGUGCAGGAGAGCGCGGCUGGUCGAAUGCCGGAGUUACGUACUGUACCGACAAGUUGCUGGCUGGCUGGGAGUUUGCUGACGCGCAUCCCUCACGCACCGGGCGUCCGGCCAGGCGAUAGCACCACACAGACACACCGCAACGCCACACUCGCGAUGCAGACCCGCAGCGCACCUGCAGGAAGGUGACCAGCGUCCACGGAUGAGCACCCGGAUUCACACUUUCUUGCUGCUUGCUAGCCUGGAGCACUCGAUGGCGUCUUGCAUUUGCAUUCACACUAGCUUUCAUUUCUCAUGUGUGUUUUGCUGUGUAGGGGCUCAAUCUUCCGUGGGAUGUGAGCUCCAAUAUGACGCCUUUGGUUGUCCAGUUGUACCCAGGGGAGGUUGUACCUCCCCCCUGAAGCCCUCGAGCAUGCCCACAGAGCUCAUGCUAGCACAUACUUGUGGACUGAGGAGCACAGUAGAAGCUGCUGCGGCUCGAGUCAUUAGCAGACAAAUUUGCAUGUGGGGCUCAUAUCGUGGUAGUCGUGGGUUCAGGGCCUGAUGGGUUGGCAAGCACGUGAGGUAGAUGGGCGUGUGUUGCUCGGAUGCGGAGCGUAUGAUGAUAUAAGGAACACGAUGUGGAGCGCUGGAACAUGGCCCGCAACUAUGGCGGGCUGCGAUGGCGAGUGAUGACCACUUGGGCGUGUCAUGCACAUCUUUGGGUUGCGACUGAGCUACCUGCGCGAUCAACCU